AUGAGGCAGUAUUGGUGGUGGGGGGGAGGGGUGGAAAACGGUAAGAGGAAGAUGGCAUGGCUAAGCUGGGAGAGGUUAUGCUGCCCAAGGCCAUGAGGGGGCAUGGGAUUCCGUGACAUGAGGGCUUUUAAUCAGGCUCUGCUGGCCAAGCAAGCCUGGCGCCUACUGGAUAGCCCAGCUAGCUUAUGUGCAAGGUUAUUGAAGGCUAAAUAUUAUCCGAGGGGAAAUUUGCUUGACACUGUGUUUUCAUCAAACUCUUCGGCGGUGUGGAAAGGUAUUGUUCAUGGGCUUGAGCUGGUGAAGAAAGGCAUUAUAUAG
rnacentral:rRNA from 1 species